rnacentral:rRNA from 1 species
UGGGGAAUUUUGGACAAUGGGCGAAAGCCUGACCAGCAAUGCCGCGUGUGUGAAGAAGGCCUUCGGGUUGUAAAGCACUUUUGUCCGGAAAGAAAUCCUUGGCUCUAAUACAGUCGGGGGAUGACGGUACCGGAAGAAUAAGCACCGGCUAACUACGUGCCAGCAGCCGCGGUAAUACGUAGGGUGCAAGCGUUAAUCGGAAUUACUGGGCGUAAAGCGUGCGCAGGCGGUUUGCUAAGACCGAUGUGAAAUCCCCGGGCUCAACCUGGGAACUGCAUUGGUGACUGGCAGGCUAGAGUAUGGCAGAGGGGGGUAGAAUUCCACGUGUAGCAGUGAAAUGCGUAGAGAUGUGGAGGAAUACCGAUGGCGAAGGCAGCCCCCUGGGCCAAUACUGACGCUCAUGCACGAAAGCGUGGGGGAGCAAACAGGAUUAGAUACCCUGGUAGUCCACGCCCUAAACGAUGUCAACUAGUUGUUGGGGAUUCAUUUCCUUAGUAACGUAGCUAACGCGUGAAGUUGACCGCCUGGGGAGUACGGUCGCAAGAUUAAAACUCAAAUGAAUUGAC